GACGAACGCUGGCGGCGCGCCUAACACAUGCAAGUCGAACGAGAGAUGAAGAGCUUGCUCUUCAAAUCGAGUGGCGAACGGGUGAGUAACGUGUGAGGAACCUGCCUCAAAGAGGGGGACAACAGUUGGAAACGACUGCUAAUACCGCAUAAGCCCACGGCUCGGCAUCGAGCAGAGGGAAAAGGAGCAAUCCGCUUUGAGAUGGCCUCGCGUCCGAUUAGCUAGUUGGUGAGGUAACGGCCCACCAAGGCAACGAUCGGUAGCCGGACUGAGAGGUUGAACGGCCACAUUGGGACUGAGACACGGCCCAGACUCCUACGGGAGGCAGCAGUGGGGAAUAUUGCACAAUGGGGGAAACCCUGAUGCAGCGACGCCGCGUGGAGGAAGAAGGUCUUCGGAUUGUAAACUCCUGUUGUUGAGGAAGAUAAUGACGGUACUCAACAAGGAAGUGACGGCUAACUACGUGCCAGCAGCCGCGGUAAAACGUAGGUCACAAGCGUUGUCCGGAAUUACUGGGUGUAAAGGGAGCGCAGGCGGGAGAACAAGUUGGAAGUGAAAUCCAUGGGCUCAACCCAUGAACUGCUUUCAAAACUGUUUUUCUUGAGUAGUGCAGAGGUAGGCGGAAUUCC
rnacentral:rRNA from 1 species